rnacentral:lncRNA from 1 species
GCCCCCUCCCGGACCCGAAGCUUUCGGCUGCGCUCGGCUGUUUUCGGCUGCGCUCGGCUCGGCGGCGCCUCCCUUGGGCGGGGCGCAGCCCUUAAAGCCGCCCGCGGCCCCGGGAUCCAAAACUGCGGCGCUGCGGGGCGGCCGGGAUCCGCUGUGCGCGCCGCCGGCGUGGGCGCAAAGAACCGGAACCGAACCGGAACCGAACCGGAACCGAACCGGAACCGGCACCAGGACCCGCCUUGGUUCCACCAGCAGCGCUGCCACCAACAGCCGAACCGACACCGGGACCGACAGCGGUACCAGAACCGACACCGGGACCAACAGCGGCACCACAAUGGAGACGCUGGUACCGACACCGACAGAACCGACACCGGAACCAACAGCAGAACCGCCGCCGGUACCGGCAGCAACACCGGUACCAACCACCGCCACCGGAACCGCUGCCGGUACCGACAUCGGCACCACCAGAACCACCCUUGGUACCAGCAGAACCACCAGAACCACCACCAGAAGCACCCUAACGACCCUUGGUACCACCAGAACCACCACCGGUACCACCAGAACCACCAGAACCACCCUUGGCCCUACCAGAACCACUCACCGGUACCACCAGAACCACCAGAACCACCAGAACCACCUUUGGUACCACCAGAACCGCCCCUGGUGCCGGCGGUACCGGCAGCCCCUCCCCCGGCAGAUUUCGGGUGGCUGGGCGCCGUUUUGGGGCGCGGU